GACAGAGGUGCCGAGCGUUAGGCGGAAUCACUGGGCUUAAAGCGCACGUAGGCGGCUUUGCAAGUCCCAUGUGAAAGCCCACGGCUUAACCGUGGAAGUGCAUGGGAAACUGCAGAGCUUGAGUACUUAAGAGGAUCGCGGAAUUCCCGGUGUAGAGGUGAAAUUCGUAGAUAUCGGGAGGAACACCAGUGGCGAAGGCGGCGAUCUGGGAAGAUACUGACGCUGAGGUGCGAAAGCGUGGGGAGCAAACAGG
rnacentral:rRNA from 1 species